rnacentral:rRNA from 1 species
UACGGGGGGGGGCAAGCGUUGUUCGGAAUUACUGGGCGUAAAGGGCGCGUAGGCGGUUGGAUAAGUCAGCUGUGAAAACCACGGGCUUAACUCGUGGCCUGCAGUUGAGACUGUCUGGCUUGAGUGUGGGAGAGGAGAGUGGAAUUCCUGGUGUAGCGGUGAAAUGCGUAGAUAUCAGGAGGAACACCGGUGGCGAAGGCGGCUCUCUGGACCACAACUGACGCUGAGGCGCGAAAGCGUGGGGAGCAAACAGG